CAGCCGCCGCGGUAAUACGUAAGGGGCAAGCGUUGUUCGGAUUUAUUGGGCGUAAAGGGCGUGUAGGCGGUUAUGUGUGUCUGGUGUGAAAUGUCCCGGCUCAACCGGGAAGGCGCGCUGGAAACUGCGUAACUAGAGUGAUGGAGGGGGAACUGGAAUUCCUGGUGUAGGGGUGAAAUCUGUAGAGAUCAGGAAGAACACCGGAGGCGAAGGCGAGUUCCUGGCCAUAUACUGACGCUGAGGCGCGAAAGCGUGGGGAGCGAACAGGAUUAGAUACCCUGGUAGUCCACGCUGUAAACGAUGUGCACUAGGUGUUGGUCCGUUGAGGAUCAGUGCCGUAGCUAACGCGUUAAGUGCACCGCCUGGGGAGUAUGCUCGCAAGGGUGAAACUCAAAGGAAUUGACGGGGGCCCGCACAAGCGGUGGAGCAUGUGGUUUAAUUCGAUGAUACGCGAGAAACCUUACCAGGGCUUGACAUAAGCAUGACGGUUGUAGAGAUACAGCUUCUCUUCGGAGCGUGCUUACAGGUGCUGCAUGGCUGUCGUCAGCUCGUGCUGUGAAGUGUUGGGUUAAGUCCCGCAACGAGCGCAACCCUUGCUGUCAGUUGCCAACAGGUAAUGCUGGGGACUCUGACGGUACUGCCGGUGACAAACCGGAGGAAGGUGGGGACGACGUCAAGUCAUCAUGGCCCUUAUGUCCUGGGCUACACACGUGCUACAAUGGUCGGUACAGAGCGGCGCAAAACCGCGAGGUGGAGCAAAUCGCAGAAAACCGGUCUCAGUUCGGAUUGAAGUCUGAAACCCGACCUCAUGAAGGUGGAAUCGCUAGUAAUCGCGCAUCAGCAUGGCGCGGUGAAUAUGUUCCCGGGCCUUGUACACACCGCCCGUCACACCACCCGAGUUGGGGGUACCCGAAGUCGCUCGUCUAACCAGUAAUGGGGGACGGUGCCGAAGGUAUGCCUGGUAAGGGGGGUGAAGUCGUAACAAGGUAGCCGUA
rnacentral:rRNA from 1 species